rnacentral:rRNA from 1 species
UAAGACCUGCGCUUUUGGAGCGGCCGAUGUCUGAUUAGCUUGUUGGUAAGGUAAAAGCUUACCAAGGCUUCGAUCAGUAGCUGGUCUGAGAGGACGACCAGCCACACUGGGACUGAGACACGGCCCAGACUCCUACGGGAGGCAGCAGUGGGGAAUUUUGGACAAUGGGCGCAAGCCUGAUCCAGCCAUGCCGCGUGAGUGAAGAAGGCCUUCGGGUUGUAAAGCUCUUUCAGCCGGGAAGAAAAGGUUGCGAUUAAUAAUCGCAAUUGAUGACGGUACCGGAAGAAGAAGCACCGGCUAACUACGUGCCAGCAGCCGCGGUAAUACGUAGGGUGCGAGCGUUAAUCGGAAUUACUGGGCGUAAAGGGUGCGCAGGCGGUUUUGUAAGUCAGAUGUGAAAUCCCCGGGCUUAACCUGGGAACU